GACGAACGCUGGCGGCGUGCUUAACACAUGCAAGUCGAACGGAAAGGCCCUGCUUGCAGGGUACUCGAGUGGCGAACGGGUGAGUAACACGUGGGUGAUCUGCCCUGCACUUCGGGAUAAGCCUGGGAAACUGGGUCUAAUACCGGAUAGGAGCCAUUUUUAGUGUGAUGGUUGGAAAGUUUUUUCGGUGUAGGAUGAGCUCGCGGCCUAUCAGCUUGUUGGUGGGGUAAUGGCCUACCAAGGCGGCGACGGGUAGCCGGCCUGAGAGGGUGGACGGACACAUUGGGACUGAGAUACGGCCCAGACUCCUACGGGAGGCAGCAGUGGGGAAUAUUGCACAAUGGGCGCAAGCCUGAUGCAGCGACGCCGCGUGGGGGAUGACGGCCUUCGGGUUGUAAACUCCUUUCGCUAGGGACGAAGCUUUUGUGACGGUACCUAGAUAAGAAGCACCGGCUAACUACGUG
rnacentral:rRNA from 1 species